GUAAAAUUAACUUAAUUAAGAUUAAUAUUAAGUUUCCUAUUUAAUUACCCUUCAUAUAGUCAUAUACAUGACUCAUAUUCCACUCUUAAAACAAAUUUAACCAUAAGAUCAAAAGGGUUUUGCUUUAAUUUGUUUUCCAGAAACGUAAUGCAUUUUCCCUUUCAUCAACAUACAUUUUUAUUUUUUUAUUACUAAUUCAAAGUUUCAUUUUCAAUGAAUAGGAUUUAAAAGAAGAAACCUUAUCAAUCACUUAUUCCCAGAU
rnacentral:misc_RNA from 1 species